CAGAAAAGAUAACUGAUGGUAGCAAUGGAGAUGUUGCUAUUGAUCAAUAUCACCGUUAUAAGGAAGAUGUGGCAAUUAUGAAGGAUAUGGGGUUGGAUGCUUAUAGGUUCUCCAUCUCAUGGUCCAGAUUGUUACCAAAUGGAACACUAAGUGGUGGGAUUAACAAGAAAGGAAUCGAAUACUACAAUAAUCUCACCAAUGAACUCCUACGCAAUGGU